rnacentral:rRNA from 1 species
AAGCUUGCUUGUUGGGGUUGUAGGACACUCUAUACGGAGUUACAAAGGACGACAUUAGACGAAUCAUCUGGAAAGAUGAAUCAAAGAAGGUAAUAAUCCUGUAGUCGAAAAUGUUGUCUCUCUUGAGUGGAUCCUGAGUACGACGGAGCACGUGAAAUUCCGUCGGAAUCUGGGAGGACCAUCUCCUAAGGCUAAAUACUCUCUAGUGACCGAUAGUGAACCAGUACCGUGAGGGAAAGGUGAAAAGCACCCCGGAAGGGGAGUGAAAUAGAACCUGAAACCGUGUGCUUACAAGUAGUCAGAGCCCGUUAAUGGGUGAUGGCGUGCCUUUUGUAGAAUGAACCGGCGAGUUACGAUUUGAUGCAAGGUUAAGCAGUAAAUGUGGAGCCGUAGCGAAAGCGAGUCUGAAUAGGGCGUUUAGUAUUUGGUCGUAGACCCGAAACCAGGUGAUCUACCCUUGGUCAGGUUGAAGUUCAGGUAACACUGAAUGGAGGACCGAACCGACUUACGUUGAAAAGUGAGCGGAUGAACUGAGGGUAGCGGAGAAAUUCCAAUCGAACCUGGAGAUAGCUGGUUCUCUCCGAAAUAGCUUUAGGGCUAGCCUCAAGUGAUGAUUAUUGGAGGUAGAGCACUGUUUGGACGAGGGGCCCCUCUCGGGUUACCGAAUUCAGACAAACUCCGAAUGCCAAUUAAUUUAACUUGGGAGUCAGAACAUGGGUGAUAAGGUCCGUGUUCGAAAGGGAAACAGCCCAGACCACCAGCUAAGGUCCCAAAAUAUAUGUUAAGUGGAAAAGGAUGUGGCGUUGCCCAGACAACUAGGAUGUUGGCUUAGAAGCAGCCAUCAUUUAAAGAGUGCGUAAUAGCUCACUAGUCGAGUGACACUGCGCCGAAAAUGUACCGGGGCUAAACAUAUUACCGAAGCUGUGGAUUGUCCUUUGGACAAUGGUAGGAGAGCGUUCUAAGGGCGUUGAAGCAUGAUCGUAAGGACAUGUGGAGCGCUUAGAAGUGAGAAUGCCGGUGUGAGUAGCGAAAGACGGGUGAGAAUCCCGUCCACCGAUUGACUAAGGUUUCCAGAGGAAGGCUCGUCCGCUCUGGGUUAGUCGGGUCCUAAGCUGAGGCCGACAGGCGUAGGCGAUGGAUAACAGGUUGAUAUUCCUGUACCACCUAUAAUCGUUUUAAUCGAUGGGGGGACGCAGUAGGAUAGGCGAAGCGUGCGAUUGGAUUGCACGUCUAAGCAGUAAGGCUGAGUAUUAGGCAAAUCCGGUACUCGUUAAGGCUGAGCUGUGAUGGGGAGAAGACAUUGAGUCUUCGAGUCGUUGAUUUCACACUGCCGAGAAAAGCCUCUAGAUAGAAAAUAGGUGCCCGUACCGCAAACCGACAC